GUGGCCUUCAUUUGCACGUGUCUCCUUACAAACGACCUGAAACGCCGCCUCGCCGUUGAAACCAAUUGCUCCAACAGGGCAAACCUCACACCUGCUAAUGAUCACGAGCGGAUCGCCCAUCGAAAAACGACUAUUAACACCUCAGUAUUUAGAUGAGCUCUGCAGGGGUCGUUCUGGUAUGUGCAUCAGAGGGCGUUUCACCUCCCAGAGUCUUUAAAAUCGACUGUUGGCCUCCUGCAUUAUAUUUUAAAUUCGGGGCAGGUCGUCCAACCGUGGGACAUGAGCAUACAGACUUAUAGGCUAUUUUUAUGUUGCUUAUCGAUUAUUACCGAGAUGUAAACGCAAGCGUCUGUUUGGAAAAUAGGUUAUUUAGUGACAACAAUGAAACAUCAGCGUCCCCUAUGUUUUAAGGGUUUAAUGAGCGCUUCUAUUAACCACCGAUAUCAAUCACAAGACUGGAAGUUUCCGUUUUCACCACAAUGGAGACUGUCUCAUUAAGAUUUGCAUGAUUUUUGGACGAGGAAUGCAAAUGAAGAUGCAAUUUACGCACGGUCUGCUGUUCCUAUUGUGCCGCCGUGAAUAGUUGCGUCCUCCCAGUUCAACACAGGUGUUCCAUCACAGAACGGCUGUAUAUGGAGUUUUGUAGUCAUCAUAAGAGAGGAUGGGAAAGGACGAAGCAGGAAGAUCAGUAA